rnacentral:rRNA from 1 species
UACGGGGGGGGCAAGCGUUGUUCGGAAUCACUGGGCGUAAAGCGCACGUAGGCGGAUUGCUAAGUCAGGGGUGAAAUCCUGGAGCUCAACUCCAGAACUGCCUUUGAUACUGGCAACCUUGAGUCCGGGAGAGGUGAGUGGAACUGCGAGUGUAGAGGUGAAAUUCGUAGAUAUUCGCAAGAACACCAGUGGCGAAGGCGGCUCACUGGCCCGGUACUGACGCUGAGGUGCGAAAGCGUGGGGAGCAAACAGG